CAGUCCUUGCUGGCAGGACAGUCUAAGAAGCUGAGAAAUAAAUAUCCUUGGCUCUGUACAGCACUGCUCAGCAACAACUGUGUGUUAUCAACAUUGUUGAUAAAACCAGCACUGACAUGUUCUAAAGACAUGUGGCAGCAGAGGGGCAAUCUGACAAAACAGCAUUUUUCAUGGAAGUGCAUAUGAAGCAGAGGUCUGUCAUUGAAUUCCUCCAUGCACCUACUGACAUUUAUCAGUGCUUCUUGAGCAAUGAUGGAGACCAAACAGUGGAUGUGAGCACAGUGAGGUGAAUUACAGUCUGGACCAUCCCAUGUGAAUUUCAGUGAUGCUAUUCUUCCCAUCAGCUUUGGGACUUCAACUUUUCCUGGUCCAGAGAUUUUAUGUAUAUCGUUCCAAGCACUGAAUCCUGAGGUUUUUUUCUCCUUUCUUGCUUUAAGCAGUCUGUACUGUCUGAUUACUAAUACAGCUUCUGCACAGUUGGUCCAAUGGAUUGACAGUAUAUCAGAUAUUAAAUACAUAAAAACCACUAGGGUGUAUGUUUAACUGGUGGUCCUUGCACAGGAGGAUUUUAAGAGUUUUCCAAAGACUAUUCAAAGCUGUUGUGAACAUUUCAGACCAAUUGCAGUCACCUUCAAAUGUUGUGUAGCAAGAAAAGAGUAAAAGGACCUUCCCAGGAAAGUACCUUCCUACAUAGAAAUAAAAUGAAAUAUGUGCUCAGUUACUUUGAUGUCUAGUCUUAUUUAACCCCUUUUUGUAAUUUACUUGUAUUUCCCUAAUACUUAAAGGCAGAAGUCAAGACUGUAAUCUUUAGUGCUUGUAUGAACAUGGAGGAAAGGACAAUAUUUGGGCUGGAAAAAAAAAAAAAAAGUCAGACUAGCUAGCCAGGACAGAAAAAAAACAGCAUGGGAACAGACACAAACAGAUAAAACCAUUUGUCCAAGGCCACGAAGAAGGGCAGUGGUAGAGAUUGGAGCAGAAUUUAAGAUUUCUGACUUCCAAUAUUAGAGUCCUAAUAAAUAAUUCAUUUAAUUUCCUUGUUUUUAUCUGCUUGCGAAAUGCUCAUGCGUGUGCUUUGACAAUCUCUGAGUCACUGAGUAUUCAUUCUGAAUUCCUUUUCUGUAAAAAACUCAAAUGCUGUUUGAUUAUAGCUAUCUAACAUUCAGGAUCAUAAUUCAUGUUAUGCUGACCAGUUGUGUGAGGGUGUAAGGCCUUUCUCCCACCACAGGCACACCUCGUUUAUCCUAUUUUCUGUGGGAAGUGAGGAGGAGGAAAGAGCCAGGAUUACUCAGGAAAAGUGAAAUUAUGGCUAUACUUAAAAGUUUGCAAGAUGAAAGAUGUAUUGUAAUUUUGCUCUAAAAGUCAGCAUGACACUGUUUUUAAGCAGAUAUGUAUUCUAUUUGUUUUUCUGAAUAGCACAUUCAGAGUCUCACUUGUUACAACUCUUUCUCCUAGAAAAUAUUCAGCUACUCAAUAGUAAAAUUUCUGUUAAAAUGACUAUUCAUGGAAAGUGCUAUAUUCUGUACUGACUUGAGUGAAGCCAAUUCAUGCAACUUGUGGAUUUGGCCUCAAUGGUGCCUUGUUAGUGAAGAAACAUUCUCUAGUUUCUGUUGACCAUAAAUGAAUAUUUUCCUUCUGGGGAACAUAAGUCCAAACUCCAAAAUAGUAAUAGCUCUUUAUGUAUCAAACUAUAUUGUAGUGUAUAGGGAAUGAAGAACCUA